AUUGAACGCUGGCGGCAUGCUUUACACAUGCAAGUCGGACGGCAGCGGGGUAGUGCUUGCAUUACUGCCGGCGAGUGGCGAACGGGUGAGUAUAAUAUUGGAACGUACCGAGUAAUGGGGGAUAACUAUCCGAAAGGAUGGCUAAUACCGCAUACGUCCUGAGGGAGAAAGCGGGGGACAGGCAACUGCCUCGCGUUAUUUGAGCGGCCAAUAUCGGAUUAGCUAGUUGGUGGGGUAAAGGCUUACCAAGGCGACGAUCCGUAGCGGGUCUGAGAGGAUGAUCCGCCACACUGGGACUGAGACACGGCCCAGACUCCUACGGGAGGCAGCAGUGGGGAAUUUUGGACAAUGGGGGGAACCCUGAUCCAGCCAUGUCGCGUGUAUGAAGAAGGCCUUAGGGUUGUAAAGUACUUUUGUUAGGGAAGAAAAGGCAUUUGCUAAUAUCAGAUGCUGAUGACGGUACCUAAAGA
rnacentral:rRNA from 1 species